rnacentral:rRNA from 1 species
CCCAGGCCUAAACACAUGCAAGUCGAACGGGGUGGCCUUCGGGCUACUUACGUGGCGGACGGGUGAGGAACACGUGGGCAACCUGCCCAACGGUGGGGGAUAGCCGCUGGAAACAGUGGGUAAUACCGCAUGAGCUCUCUGGCCGAGUGGGGUUGGAGAGGAAAGCCUACGGGCGCCGAUGGAGGGGCCUGCGUCCGAUUAGCUAGACGGUGGGGUAACGGCCUACCGUGGCGAUGAUCGGUAGCUGGUUUGAGAGGAUGAUCAGCCACACGGGGACUGAGACACGGCCCCGACUCCUACGGGAGGCAGCAGCAAGGAAUUUUCCGCAAUGGGCGAAAGCCUGACGGAGCAACGCCGCGUGUGGGAUGACGCUUUUCGGAGUGUAAACCACUGUUCAUGGGGACGAAGCACUGACGGUACCCAUGGAGGAAGGCCCGGCUAACUACGUGCCAGCAGCCGCGGUAAUACGUAGGGGUCGAGCGUUGUCCGGAGUUACUGGGCGUAAAGCGCAUGCAGGCGGCUCAUUACGCAUGGCGUGAAAGCCCCCGGCUUAACCGGGGAGGGUCGUCGUGAACGGGUGAGCUUGAGGGUAUCAGGGGCUGGUGGAAUUCCCGGUGUAGUGGUGAAAUGCGUAGAGAUCGGGAGGAACACCUGUGGCGAAGGCGGCCAGCUGGGAUACACCUGACGCUGAGAUGCGAAGGCGUGGGGAGCGAACGGGAUUAGAUACCCCGGUAGUCCACGCAGUAAACGAUGCAGACUAGGCGUGGGAGGACUUGACCCCUUCAGUGAC